rnacentral:lncRNA from 10 species
UGAAUAGAAGUGUUAGGAUGGAUGCUGGAAAUAAAAACAUAGAUAAAGUGAAGAAGAAUGGCCUGAAGUCCAGGAAAAGAUGGGGAAAAGCAGAUAAAGAAGCAACUUUCUCAUUUGAGGGCUUAGAGCCUAGGACUCCAACCAUCAGGUGUAGGGGCCAGGGAAGAUGCAGAACAGUGGCCUCACAGUCUAAGGCCUGUGACUCCAAAAUACUUCUAGGGAGAGAAAUGGAGGCUGCUGCUGAAGUCUCCAGGGUAGCUGCAAGGCCAUCCCUUAUCUGUUCUAGGAUAAAAGAGUGACAUGAUAGAGGUCAGAAAAAUUUCUGGGGCUUGGGUGUCUGGUAAAUGUGAGGCUAGGAUAACUUACUUACCUUAGGAUAUAGAAUCCAUAUUAUAUAGACUCAUUGGUUUCUAUGUUUUGUGCUUUAUCUUUACAGACUCGUUGGCUUCUAUGUGUUUUGUGCUUUGUCUUUAUCUCAUUAAAAAAUGUUUUCCUAAGGUUUUUUAAAGGAUUAUUUUGGAAAAAUGUCAAGUUCCACCUUCUCUAGGCAUAUCUUUGCCUAGCCUCCUUUUUGUCAAGUACCACUGCCUGCAUUCAGGCUCUCUGGUUUCUAGCACAGUUAUUGGUCAAAUUCGUCAGUGUGUCUAGCCAUAGCCUUGAAUGUUCUCCUCCAGGCUGUAAUAUAUCUAAUAUGUGAAAUCUGACCAUGCCAUUUCUUUGUUCAAAGUCCUUUGGUGGCUUCCAACUAUGUACAGAAAAAAAGUCCAAUGACCUUAAAAUGGAAAAAAAUUCCUUCACUAUUUUUUUUCUGCUUAUCCAGGAUCUCUUUGCCAAUUAUAGUAAUGUGUCACGUGAUGAUGUUUUGGUUAAUGACAGACCGCAUAUACAACAGUGGUCUCAUGAGAUUAUAAUACAGCUGAAAAGUCCCUAUCAUCUAGUGACAUCAUGCUGUCAUACAUUGUAGCGCAAAACAUUACCUUUUCUAUGUUUCCAUAUGUUUAGAUACACAAAUCCUUACCAUUGUGUUACAGUUGCUUAUAGUAUUCAGUACAGUAACACACUGUAUAGGUUUGUAGCCUAGGAGCAGUAUGCUAUACCAUAUAGCCUAGGUGUGUAGUAGGCUAUCCCAUCUAGGUUUGUGCAAGUAUACUCUAUGAUGAAGUAUACUCUAUGAUGUGCAAGUAUACUCUAUGAUGAAAUCGCUUAAUGGCACAUUUCUUAGAAAAUAUCCUCAUUGUUAAGAGAUGCAUGCUUGUAUUUCUCUGAGCUUCGUAUUUGAGCAACAUCAAAUGAUUGUUAGUUUCCUGCUAUGCUGAACUAUUUCUUCUCUCUGUACCUUUGAUCAUGCCAAAAUCCUUCUUCCUUUACAAGUCUGCCUGACCCUCAUCCAUACUUUAAGACACAGAUCCAAUUACUUUCUCCCAAUAUGUGCACAUUCUCUGACUGUGUUAAUAAAAUAUACAAUUUCCUUACCUUCUCCUCCACUGGAGUGUCAUCAGGGUCUGUUUUCUUGUGUCUGUAGCACAGGGAUUGGCACAUAUUAGAAACCUUAAGAAGAUGAGCUUUGUCAUCAAAACAGUUCCUCUUGUUUGGGUUCUUGCUUGGCUUUGCAUUAGUUGUUCUCUAACCUUU